UACGGAGGGUGCAAGCGUUAUCCGGAUUCACUGGGUUUAAAGGGUGCGUAGGCGGUCCGGUAAGUCCGCUGUGAAAGUCGGGGGCUCAACCCUCGGAUGCCGGUGGAUACUGUCGGGCUUGAGUACGGAAGAGGCGAGUGGAAUUCCUGGUGUAGCGGUGAAAUGCGCAGAUAUCGGGAAGAACACCCGUGGCGAAGGCGGUUCUGACUGGGACCGGUGAC
rnacentral:rRNA from 1 species